GGACGAACGAGGAGUUUGCAGUUCCACGAACUCGCAGUAACAGCAGCAAAUGGAACUUAACAAGACAUUCAUAAAGGAGACUAUGAGAAGGGAGUGGGCCACCUGACCAACACCAUUGCUGUGUGUGGUUAACUCCGGCCGCUCCUCUAGGUGCUCCGCAGACCUAAUCCUGUCUUUUAGAUCCUGCUGAAACGGUCCACUGUCAGCCAGUUUCCCGUGUGCAUCAAGAAUGGUCCACCACCCAAAGGACAUCCAGUCAACUUGACACAACUAUGGGAGGCAUUGGUGUCUACAUGAGCCAGUGUCUCAUGUAGAGUCCAUGCUAAGAUGAAUUGAUGUUGUUCUGAAAGCAAAAGGUUGGGUUGCAACUCAAUAUUAGGAAGGUGUUCUCAGGGUAUAUAUUUUAUGAAACAUACAAAUUAUAACCUGUUUCUUGACCACAGGGACAAUAAUUACUGUAACCUUUAGGACAAUUUCUCCAUCACAGGUCCCCAUGUGUACAGUAAGGGUAUAUCGUUAACAUAACUUGUGAUGGUUUAAAUGUUCCGAUUAGGCAUGACAAAUCAAUGACCUAUUUACAUUGUACUUCACACAAACAUUUCAUAUGCAUUGAAUGUAGGAUUUUCACCAUUGUGUAGUAAGAUGUAUCUUUAAAAAGUAUUGACUCGAGCAAAUAUGAUGUAACAAUACUGGAUGGGUAGCGCAAGCAGGUGAGCUUCCUCUAUCUUUAAGGGAAACACUAAGGGUGGAAUUUCAGAGUCUCCGACUAGGUCGGGGUGAAGUCAAGGAUAGUACACUCAGGCCGUUUACCAUUGUCUACUUAAGAGGGUGGAUCUCCCAUAGACACCCAAUGUGAUAUCAGCUGGGUCUGGUCUACUUAGUUCAUUGACAUCCACUGAAACAGAAAAAAUGAGGGAUAUGUCUCGCUUCAUCUUCCGUCUCUGGUGAAGCUCUUGAUUCACCUGGCUUGACCAAGAGGUUAUGCGAUGGGGUCCAGCUGAGGUCACUAUGAAGGAGAUGGGAGACCACGCACCUAGGGAGAACACGCACCCACGCACCUUGGGUGCCACGUCAGUUGCUACUUAAAGGGAUACUUUGGGAUUUUGGCAAUGAGGCCCUUUAUCUACUUCCCCAGAGUCAGAUGAACUCAUGGAUACCAUUUUUAUGUCUCUGCCUGCAGUUUGAAGGAAGUUGCUAGCUAGCGCAAUUGCUAACUAGCGUUAGCGCAAUGACUGGAGGCUAAUAUUAGUUAGCAUUGUCUAGCGAAACUACCUCUAACUUUCUUCAUACUUAACACCGAGACAUAAAAUUCAUCCACAACUUCAUCUGACUCUGGGGAAGUAGUUCAAUUAGUUGAAAGUAACCCUUUAAAGCAUAGUCUACCUUGGUCAGUAGAGCAUUACUUGGCUUCUACUUUGGCGACGUCACGCCCUGACCUUAGAGAACCGUUUUAUUUCUCAAUUUGGUUAGGUCAGUGUGUGAUUUGGGUGGGCAUUCUAUGUUUUCAAUUUCUUUGUUUUGUAAUUAUUUAUUUUCUGUGUGUGUUUGUGUGCACCACGGUUGCGUCACGUUCGGUUUCUGUUUACCUGUUUUUUCGUGAAGGUUUCACUUUAUUAAAGAUGUGGAAUUACAUGCACGCUGCGCCUUGGCUCAUCUAUGACAGGGAGUUUGAAGACAGUGAACGUGAUAGGCGGGCAGACUUCUUCCUGGCCUCAGCAAUGGUUGCCCCAAAGGCAAGAGGUGAAGGAGAGCAGUGGGAUCUGAUACAUGCUCACCACUCCUGCAAUAGAAGUGUUGAAUACAGAAUAAAGCAUCUCUCAUGGUGAUUGGAUGUCAAAUAAAUCCUUGCCAAUAGUUUAGAAGAGCUUAUGUUGCUAGGCUAGUCCCAAAUAUGUGUGUCCAAUCACCCACAUCUACUAAUCAUAGACCAGUGGGUCAAUCUGAAGUUACAGAAAGGAUGAGGGGGAUUGGUCAUUUGCCAUCAGAGUAGGAGCGCUGAUCUAGGAUCAGGUCCACUCUGUCUAUAUAAUAGUAUUGUAGUAUUCAUUAUGAUCUUACCUUUUGCAAAUGCUUAGUCUGGAUUGUUGUCUUGGGUCAAAUUGGACGCUGUAUAUUAAUAAAAUAUUAUUAGUACUGUAAAUCCAUAUGUACAUGUACUAGCUAGCUAUCAUUGUAAUAGUAUCUAAUAUAGGAUACAUGUAUUAACUGUAUAGAUUCAUUUCAUGACCAUGAGCUCCUACAUGCUCUCCAGUAUUAAAGUUGCCAUCCAGCGGUCACCACUAUUCCUCUAGCCACAUCUGGAACUCCAAGAAAGACAGGCUGGCGGACAGACACACGCAAAGGGCCAGCUCUAGCGUUUUGGGGACCCAAAGCGAGAUUUGGUUGGAGGGGGGAUCCCCCCCCACACACACACACACACACACACACACACACCACCCCCCCACCAAGCGGGGGGAAUUGGCCGGUCGCCAGCUGGACGGUGUUUCCUCCGACACAUUGGUUCGGCCAGCUUCUGGGUUAAGCGAGCAGUGUGUCAAGAAGCAGUGCGGCUUGGCAGGGUUGUGUUUCAGAGGACACGUGGCUCUCAACCUUCUCCUCUCCCGAGUCCAUAGGGGAGUUGCAGCGAUGGGACUAGACUGUGACUACCAAUUGGAUACCAAGAAAAAGGAUGGAUGGAAUGGAAUGGACAGAAAAAUUAAUUGCAUAACCAUGCUAGUUAAUUGUUUCAAUGGACCUUCCAAAGGUGAAAUUACAAGUCCUAUUGGUUGUGAAGGUAAGGUAGCUAGCUAGCUAAUCUCGAUCCCACUCCAUAAGGGGUCUAGAAUUUUAUGAAGUAGACAACUGACUGUGUUUUGGGUUACCAAAAACCCGCUUGGAUGCAUUUAAGAUGCAUUAGUUUGUAUCCAUGAAGCUUCCCAUGUCAGCCCAAUUGAUCAAUAAGGAAUAACCCUAUGUCAAGGAGGUCUUGAUUCAUUUUUUUUUGUAUGUAGAGCCUUGAAGAACACGGAAUUCUCUGCAAUGUACGUAUAAACACCAUUUAUAUUGCUCAAUGACCCUAAUAAAAUAUAUUUCUCAUCAUAACGGAUUAUUUAGUAAUAAUAAUAACAACUUUCUCGUUAUGAACGUGAUCUUUCUCAUAAUAACGAGGUAAUGGAUCAUUUUGUUAUACCAAGUUAUUUAAAUGUUUUGUAAUAAUGUGAUCUUAUCUUGUAAUAAAAUAAUAAUCAGCAAUACACCACCAUA